GGGGGUAGAGGCCCGCCGCGGUAACGACGGGUAACGGGGAAUCAGGGUUCGAUUCCGGAGAGGGAGCCCGAGAAACGGCUACCACUUCCAAGGAAGGCAGCAGGCGCGCAACUUACCCUAAUCUCGAUUCGAGGAGGUAGUGACAAGAAAUACCGAUAGCGGGACCCUACGGGUGCCGCGUUCGGAAUGAGUACGAUUCGAACCACCUAACGAGGAACGAUCGGAGGGCAAGUCUGGUGCCAGCAGCCGCGGUAAUUCCAGCUCCAAUAGCGUACGUUAAAGUUGCUGCAGUUAAAAAGCUCGUAGUUGAACGUUCGGGUUCCGCGGGACGGGGCCGCCCCGCGAGGGACGGCGCCGCCCCGGGGCGUCGUGAUAUCUCAUCUCGCCGCCCGUCGCGAGGCGGACGGAGGGAUGGAUGAGGUUACCUGGAAAAAAUCGGGGCGGAUCUAGGCGGGCGAACCUCGCCAACGAACG
rnacentral:rRNA from 1 species